rnacentral:rRNA from 1 species
UACGAGGGGGGCAAGCGUUGUUCGGAAUUAUUGGGCGUAAAGGGUGCGUAGGCGGAUAUUUAAGUGAGGGGUGAAAUCCCAGGGCUCAACCCUGGAACUGCCUCUCAUACUGGGUAUCUCGAGUUCGAGAGAGGUGAGUGGAAUUGCGAGUGUAGAGGUGAAAUUCGUAGAUAUUCGCAGGAACACCAGUGGCGAAGGCGGCUCACUGGCUCGAUACUGACGCUGAGGUGCGAAAGCGUGGGGAGCAAACAGG